rnacentral:rRNA from 1 species
UACGUAGGGAGCGAGCGUUGUCCGGAAUUACUGGGUGUAAAGGGAGCGUAGGCGGGACGGCAAGUCAGAUGUGAAAACUGAGGGCUCAACUUUCAGACUGCAUUUGAAACUGCUGUUCUUGAGUGAAGUAGAGGUAAGCGGAAUUCCUAGUGUAGCGGUGAAAUGCGUAGAUAUUAGGAGGAACACCAGUGGCGAAGGCGACUUUCUGGACAGUAACUGACGUUGAGGCACGAAAGUGUGGGGAGCAAACAGG